AUGUUCCACAGCUAUGAUGCAGAAGAAAUAUGUAAAGUUAAAAUUCCUGUAAAAGAAGUGGAUGACUGUGUAGCAUGGCAUGUGGAGAAAUCUGGCAUUUUCUCCGUCCGUAGUGCGUAUAAGCUUGGUGCAAACCUCAAGCAGCAAGGUAGCGCGAGGGCAUCUUCUUCUGUAAAUGAGGCGGAUAACAGAAGCAUUUGGGAUCUUAUUUGGAAAGCAAAGGUCCCUGAAAAGAUAAGAAUCUUUGCUUGGAGAGUGGCCACCAAAACCCUCCCCACAAAAGAAAAUAAGUGGAAGAGAACACUCGAGCUGGACAAGAUCUGCAAUAUUUGUGGGAGAGAAACGGAAGAUGAAUAUCAUGCAGUUAUAAACUGCACAAAAGCCAGAGCGCUGAGAGAGGAAAUGAGGAGACAAUGGGAGCUACCAACUGAAGAUCAAUUUCACUACACAGGCAUUGACUGGUUACAUAACCUACUGUGCAACGGCAAUGCUGAGGCACAGAGGGAAAUACUGCUGCUGAUAUGGCGAGCAUGGUGGCUCCGUGAAGACUGCGUUCAUGCAAAGGGCAAUGCCACU
rnacentral:rRNA from 1 species